CUGAAAUUUUCCUUUCAACCAGCUGCACAUCUGCAGAAUCGCCGGGCCCGUCAUUAUGUACUCCACCGCUUGUUGUAUGCUUAAAAUGUCACUUUAUUCUGCAAAAGAAACGUGACACCGAAGCGAAAAAUGGGGAAUUGUCCUGCGCUACAGUACACGCACGUGCAGUCCAGCUCAGGUGUACCUCCGGACCGUGCUUAGAGAAUGCAAAAUGUGUCUAGGCAUGGCAUCAAGUUGGGAUUCAAGACAUUGAGAUGAUUCUAUACAUUUUUCCAGAAAGCAACUUUUCAGAAAGUGUCCCCUAUAACAACACUCGC